CUCAGACUGCUACUCUGGCGAAGAUGAAUACAACUGUCAAGACACGUUCCGCUGUUCUAACGGUGACGAGAUCCCCAUGAAGUAUACAUGUGACCGCAUCAUCGACUGCCAGUAUGGCGAAGAUGAGUGGCAGAACUGCAACGAUAAUGAAGUCAAAAGGGACAACAUUGAGUCGUAUCUGCGACGGGAGAAGGUUUUGCCGAAGGAGAAAAAGGAUGAGCAAGACCCGUAGACAUAUAAAGGAAUCAGCCGUCGUCUCAGACUUAUACCGGACAUGGAAUCGACCACCGUACACUGCAUUCUAAUGUCCAUUUGAAAUUUCUUAGAAUUAGUUUGGAAUUUAAGUUUCAUUUUGUUCCUAUUUUCGUUUCCGUUUUUGUUUCGUUCCUUUGAACCUUUUUUCCAAGUUUGAGUUAAUCACGAAUAUUAAUGAUUCAAAUUUUGUUGUUUCAAUUUCAUUAUUUUUGGGCAAUUCCACGGGAAGCGGAUAUUGCUGAAAAGUGGAUAAUGUAUCACAAUCUCGAAUGUGGUAUUAAAUACAAGGAGACAAACAAAACCCUUUCGUUUACGUUAUUUGCCAGUGAGAUUUAAAAUGAUUACCCAUGUUUUUGGUAAAAACAAACGGAUUUUUGGCAGCUUGUAUUUACAUGCAGCACACAUGACUUGUGUUAGGCCAAAAAAAUAAUAAGUCGGUCUCUGGUCAGCGC